CUAAGAAUGGGGGCUGGUUGCUGGGGAGCCAACCUUGUGGUCAAAGAAUAAAUGACAAUGGACAUCAGAAUAUAUCUGGAAGUGAAAGGGAGAGUGGUACCUUGCACAAGCAUAUUACUCUAACACCCCAUAGGAAGAAUUUUCUCCCUGCCCAGCAACAGCUCAGCCAAUAAGAGACGGUCACAGCCCAGCCAAUGAGAGACAAUCACUGCCCAGCCAAUGAGAGAUGGUCAGAGCCCAGCCAAUGAGAGACAAUCACCGCCCAGCCAAUGAGAGACAAUCACUGCCCAGCCAAGGAGAGACGAUCACAGCCCAGCCAACGAGAAUCCACUACACUUGAACUCCCAGUUCAGGGCAAUGGAUUUUUUUUGUUGUUGUUGUUUACACAUCUCUCUCAACAUCCUCUCUCUUCUGGAAACUAGCAUUCUUCUGUUUUGUUCUCCAGACUUGCCUGUAAUUUUUCCAUCACUUGCUUGACUGGGAUUGCAAUUCGGUUAUUCCUGACCAACCCAUUUUUGCUGCACAGGCGUGACUUCUUCCUGCUUGAAAAUGCACUGUCUGUGUCGUUGCCUGAAUUAAAGACUAAGUCAACCUCCCACAGGGGAGGCUCCCACAGAACAUACGCGAGGUUACUCCCCCCUGGUGGCCAGAGCUGGUGGAAGGCUGGAAAGCUGGGUAGAAGAGAACUGGAUUCACACUAGAGAAAUUCUCUUCUUGGGCAACUUGCUACUUGGAAAAGUCUGAUUUGCCACGUGGGGGUGCCCAGGAGCCUGGGGCAAAUGGGCUGGGCUCUACUGACUGAACGGUGCAGAGCCAAACGGUGGUGAGAGCCAGAGAUGACCUUACAGAGAUUAUUCAAUUCACCUGCUCACUUUAGAGACGAAGCAACUGACAUUUGGCUGAAUAACUGGCCCAAGGACGUGUUUUUGUGGUUUUUUGUUUGUUUGUUUGUUUUUAAUGGAUCUCCUAAGCACUAUGGUUAUAUUUACCAUAACACACAGAAUUUAAAAUUUUAAUUUUGUGUCUUUGCUGCUAGCCUGUGAGCCCCGUGAAGGGAGGGAUGGUGUGUGUCACUCGUUGUGCGUCCCCUCAGGCUGACUUCACCGUGGCUGUGGGGUAGGGUGGUAACUGGCUUCAUUCUGCAGCUGAGGACGCCAGGCCUGGGGAGCGGGACAGACUCACCUGGGAUCCCGUGGCUGGUCCUGCAACCAGCACAGUGCUCAGAACAGGCACUCAGUAAGUAUUUGUUGAAUGAAUGAAUGAAUGAAUGACCAAGUGAGUGAGUGAGUGAAGCAAUGGAGCCAGGAUUCCAAUCCAGGGCUCCAGUGCCCAGGCCUGCCUUCUGCUUGAGCACAAGAAUAUCACUAGGGCUGUCACUGAUGUACCGCAGGAACUCAGACACAUCCGUUAAGUACAAAUAAAUGGCUGAAAGAAGAAUAGAGCUGUAACUCAUCUGAACCUCAGUUUCCUGUAGAUAAAAAUACUUUCUUCACAGAGCUGCCCUGGGGUUUCAAUAAGAUGUGAAAGAUAUGAAAAAUUCAUGUGCAUUGCCGCACCGCACACUGCAAGAUGAUUCCAGCAUAGGCUCUGAAGUUGGCUAAAAUGAAAUCACGGGACCUGCACGCUUCCUGGCUCUGUGACCUGGGACAGGCAGCUUGGCCUCUGCUGGCCCCUGCUUCCACUGUGGAAUGGGGAUGGUAACAGCACCUACUGCAUACAGUUCUCGUAAGAAGAUGAAAAGAAGCAGAUUACACAUAAGGAGGCACUUCAUGUUAAUGAAUGGGAACUACUUUAUUAUCUUCGAAAAAAAGAAAGUUUUACAAGAGGUAUUAAGGUGGGAAGGAAAACAAGCUACUGUUGUGUUGAGUGAAAACAAAAAAACCCCAGACUCGGCUCUCUGAAUGAAGUCACAUUUUCGCCUCUUCAAUCUGAAUUCAGGCCAGCCUCAAAUACUUGCUCUCUGGUGUUGAUUAGGACCUCACAUGGGAGUUGCAUACUGCACCUGCUGAAAUUAGUACCGAAAGGAAAAAUACGGACUCUUCCCGAUGUAAACGGAUCUAGCUUCCCAAGCUCUUCUUUCAGAAACACAGUGGCUAACAGCUUUUGAUACGUUAGAAACUCAAUAACCUAGCUAUAAUCCUAUGAAUGAAGUAUUUGAUGUUCAGUGGUGCAGUCUCAAACUGCGGAGAAUAUAACUUAUCUUUUCUAGGGUUGAAGCUAAAAAAAAA